rnacentral:rRNA from 1 species
UUACAAUGGAGAGUUUGAUCCUGGCUCAGGAUGAACGCUAGCGGCAGGCCUAAUACAUGCAAGUCGAGCGGUAGAGAUGCUUUCGGGUGUCUUGAG